rnacentral:lncRNA from 1 species
AUGCCUUCGACAGCCUCGCGUCACACUGCAUCAUUUGGCAGCGCCCCGCGGUCCGGAAACGACCAGGCCCCACAAGGCCCUGGGAGAAACCCUGGGAGCGACCUCUGCCCUUCAGGGGAAACUCCUCAAACCGGGCGUGGCGCCAGGGCUUAUGGGAAACGUAGUCCCAGGCUCGGUCGCCCGCCCGGCGCGGGGUCCGCCCAGGGUCUUGAGGGGCUCCGAGGCUCGCGGCGCACAUGCGUACUUCGUUCUCCGCGCGUCUGCCUCGGGUUCCAAGGAAGCAACCUCGAAGUGUGGAGCAGAAUCGCACCCUGUGGUCAUGUAUUUUGGGAUUUCUUGGCAUCUCAGAACUCAAGGCCAGGUUCCAGCCCCCUUGGAAGAAAGCAGCUUUUGUGA